rnacentral:tRNA from 1 species
UAGCUCAAUGGUUAAGAGCACUACUCUUCUAGAAGACCUGGGUUCAAUUCCCAG